GCCGGAGUGGCGGAAUCGGCAGACGCUCAGGACUUAAAAUCCUGUGGGAAAUUUCUCGUGCGGGUUCAAGUCCCGCCUCCGGCACCA
rnacentral:tRNA from 1 species